AUUGAACGCUGGCGGCAGGCUUAACACAUGCAAGUCGAGCGGGGUGAUGGUGCUUGCACUAUCACUUAGCGGCGGACGGGUGAGUAAUGCUUAGGAAUCUGCCUAUUAGUGGGGGACAACAUCUCGAAAGGGAUGCUAAUACCGCAUACGUCCUACGGGAGAAAGCAGGGGAUCACUUGUGACCUUGCGCUAAUAGAUGAGCCUAAAUCGGAUUAGCUAGUUGGUGGGGUAAAGGCCUACCAAGGCGACGAUCUGUAGCGGGUCUGAGAGGAUGAUCCGCCACACUGGGACUGAAACACGGCCCAGACUCCUACGGGAGGCAGCAGUGGGGAAUAUUGGACAAUGGGGGGAACCCUGAUCCAGCCAUGCCGCGUGUGUGAAGAAGGCCUUAUGGUUGUAAAGCACUUUAAGCGAGGAGGAGGCUCUUUUGGUUAAUACCCAAGAUGAGUGGACGUUACUCGCAGAAUAAGCACCGGCUAACUCUGUGCCAGCAGCCGCCGUAA
rnacentral:rRNA from 1 species